GGGGAUUUAGCUCAGCGGUAGAGCGCUUGCCUAGCAAGCGCAAGGCCCUGGGUUCAAUCCCCA
rnacentral:tRNA from 1 species